rnacentral:rRNA from 1 species
UACGUAGGACCCAAGCGUUAUCCGGAUUGACUGGGCGUAAAGAGUUGCGUAGGUGGUCUAUCAAGCGAGCAGUGAAAUCUUGUGGCUCAACCAUAAGGCUAUUGUUCGAACUGGUAGACUCGAGAAUGGAAGAGGUAUCUGGAAUUCCCAGUGUAGGAGUGAAAUCCGUAGAUAUUGGGAGGAACACCAAUGGCGUAGGCAGGAUACUGGUCCAUUUCUGACACUAAGGCACGAAAGCGUGGGGAGCGAACGGG